rnacentral:lncRNA from 1 species
GGGGGCGGCAGCUUUGUGCUUUUUAGUGGCCGCGUCCCAGGAUAGCUGGAAGGUUAGGACGCUCUUGCGGUCCCAGAGUGGAGUGGAAGGUCUGGAGCUUUGGGAGGAGACGGGGAGGACAGACUGGAGGCGUGUUCCUCCGGAGUUUUCUUUUUCGUGCGAGCCCUCGCGCGCGCGUACAGUCAUCCCGCUGGUCUGACGAUUGUGGAGAGGCGGUGGAGAGGCUUCAUCCAUCCCACCCGGUCGUCGCCGGGGAUUGGGGUCCCAGCGAGACCUCCCCGGGAGAAGCAGUGCCCAGGAGGUUUUCUGAAGCCGGGGAAGCUGUGCAGCCGAAGCCGCCGCCGCGCCGGAGCCCGGGACACCGGCCACCCUCCGCGCCACCCACCCUCGCCGGCUCCGGCUUCCUCUGGCCCAGGCGCCGCGCGGACCCGGCAGCUGUCUGCGCACGCCGAGCUCCACGGUGAAAAAAAAGUGAAGGUGUAAAAGCAGCACAAGUGCAAUAAGAGAUAUUUCCUCAAAUUUGCCUCAAGAUGGAAACCCUUUGCCUCAGGGCAUCCUUUUGGCUGGCACUGGUUGGAUGUGUAAUCAGUGAUAAUCCUGAGAGAUACAGCACAAAUCUAAGCAAUCAUGUGGAUGAUUUCACCACUUUUCGUGGCACAGAGCUCAGCUUCCUGGUUACCACUCAUCAACCCACUAAUUUGGUCCUACCCAGCAAUGGCUCAAUGCACAACUAUUGCCCACAGCAGACUAAAAUUACUUCAGCUUUCAAAUACAUUAACACUGUGAUAUCUUGUACUAUUUUCAUCGUGGGAAUGGUGGGGAAUGCAACUCUGCUCAGGAUCAUUUACCAGAACAAAUGUAUGAGGAAUGGCCCCAACGCGCUGAUAGCCAGUCUUGCCCUUGGAGACCUUAUCUAUGUGGUCAUUGAUCUCCCUAUCAAUGUAUUUAAGCUGCUGGCUGGGCGCUGGCCUUUUGAUCACAAUGACUUUGGCGUAUUUCUUUGCAAGCUGUUCCCCUUUUUGCAGAAGUCCUCGGUGGGGAUCACCGUCCUCAACCUCUGCGCUCUUAGUGUUGACAGUUCUACCAAGAUGUAAAGGACUGGUGGCUCUUCGGGUUCUAUUUCUGUAUGCCCUUGGUGUGCACUGCGAUCUUCUACACCCUCAUGACUUGUGAGAUGUUGAACAGAAGGAAUGGCAGCUUGAGAAUUGCCCUCAGUGAACAUCUUAAGCAGCGUCGAGAAGUGGCAAAAACAGUUUUCUGCUUGGUUGUAAUUUUUGCUCUUUGCUGGUUCCCUCUUCAUUUAAGCCGUAUAUUGAAGAAAACUGUGUAUAACGAGAUGGACAAGAACCGAUGUGAAUUACUUAGUUUCUUACUGCUCAUGGAUUACAUCGGUAUUAACUUGGCAACCAUGAAUUCAUGUAUAAACCCCAUAGCUCUGUAUUUUGUGAGCAAGAAAUUUAAAAAUUGUUUCCAGUCAUGCCUCUGCUGCUGCUGUUACCAGUCCAAAAGUCUGAUGACCUCGGUCCCCAUGAACGGAACAAGCAUCCAGUGGAAGAACCACGAUCAAAACAACCACAACACAGACCGGAGCAGCCAUAAGGACAGCAUGAACUGACCACCCUUAGAAGCACUCCUCGGUACUCCCAUAAUCCUCUCGGAGAAAAAAAUCACAAGGCAACUGUGAGUCCGGGAAUCUCUUCUCUGAUCCUUCUUCCUUAAUUCACUCCCACACCCAAGAAGAAAUGCUUUCCAAAACCGCAAGGGUAGACUGGUUUAUCCACCCACAACAUCUACGAAUCGUACUUCUUUAAUUGAUCUAAUUUACAUAUUCUGCGUGUUGUAUUCAGCACUAAAAAAUGGUGGGAGCUGGGGGAGAAUGAAGACUGUUAAAUGAAACCAGAAGGAUAUUUACUACUUUUGCAUGAAAAUAGAGCUUUCAAGUACAUGGCUAGCUUUUAUGGCAGUUCUGGUGAAUGUUCAAUGGGAACUGGUCACCAUGAAACUUUAGAGAUUAACGACAAGAUUUUCUACUUUUUUUAAGUGAUUUUUUUGUCCUUCAGCCAAACACAAUAUGGGCUCAAGUCACUUUUAUUUGAAAUGUCAUUUGGUGCCAGUAUUUUUUAACUGCAUAAUAGCCUAACAUGAUUAUUUGAACUUAUUUACACAUAGUUUGAAAAAAAAAAGACAAAAAUAGUAUUCAGGUGAGCAAUUAGAUUAGUAUUUUCCACGUCACUGUUUAUUUUUUUAAAACACAAAUUCUAAAGCUACAACAAAUACUACAGGCCCUUAAAGCACAGUCUGAUGACACAUUUGGCAGUUUAAUAGAUGUUACUCAAAGAAUUUUUUAAGAACUGUAUUUUAUUUUUUAAAUGGUGUUUUAUUACAAGGGACCUUGAACAUGUUUUGUAUGUUAAAUUCAAAAGUAAUGCUUCAAUCAGAUAGUUCUUUUUCACAAGUUCAAUCUGUUUUUCAUGUAAAUUUUGUAUGAAAAAUCAAUGUCAAGUACCAAAAUGUUAAUGUAUGUGUCAUUUAACUCUGCCUGAGACUUUCAGUGCACUGUAUAUAGAAGUCUAAAACACACCUAAGAGAAAAAGAUCGAAUUUUUCAGAUGAUUCAGAAAUUUUCAUUCAGGUAUUUGUAAUAGUGACAUAUAUAUGUAUAUACAUAUCACCUCCUAUUCUCUUAAUUUUUCUUAAAAUGUUAACUGGCAGUAAGUCUUUUUUGAUCAUUCCCUUUUCCAUAUAGGAAACAUAAUUUUGAAGUGGCCAGAUGAGUUUAUCAUGUCAGUGAAAAAUAAUUACCCACAAAUGCCACCAGAACUUACGAUUCUUCACUUCUUGGGGUUUUCAGUAUGAACCUAACUCCCCACCCCAACAUCUCCCUCCCACAUUGUCACCAUUUCAAAGGGCCCACAGUGACUUUUGCUGGGCAUUUUCCCAGAUGUUUACAGACUGUGAGUACAGCAGAAAAUCUUUUACUAGUGUGUGUGUGUAUAUAUAUAAACAAUUGUAAAUUUCUUUUAGCCCAUUUUUCUAGACUGUCUCUGUGGAAUAUAUUUGUGUGUGUGAUAUAUGCAUGUGUGUGAUGGUAUGUAUGGAUUUAAUCUAAUCUAAUAAUUGUGCCCCGCAGUUGUGCCAAAGUGCAUAGUCUGAGUAAAAUCUAGGUGAUUGUUCAUCAUGACAACCUGCCUCAGUCCAUUUUAACCUGUAGCAACCUUCUGCAUUCAUAAAUCUUGUAAUCAUGUUACCAUUACAAAUGGGAUAUAAGAGGCAGCGUGAAAGCAGAUGAGCUGUGGACUAGCAAUAUAGGGUUUUGUUUGGUUGGUUGGUUUGAUAAAGCAGUAUUUGGGGUCAUAUUGUUUCCUGUGCUGGAGCAAAAGUCAUUACACUUUGAAGUAUUAUAUUGUUCUUAUCCUCAAUUCAAUGUGGUGAUGAAAUUGCCAGGUUGUCUGAUAUUUCUUUCAGACUUCGCCAGACAGAUUGCUGAUAAUAAAUUAGGUAAGAUAAUUUGUUGGGCCAUAUUUUAGGACAGGUAAAAUAACAUCAGGUUCCAGUUGCUUGAAUUGCAAGGCUAAGAAGUACUGCCCUUUUGUGUGUUAGCAGUCAAAUCUAUUAUUCCACUGGCGCAUCAUAUGCAGUGAUAUAUGCCUAUAAUAUAAGCCAUAGGUUCACACCAUUUUGUUUAGACAAUUGUCUUUUUUUCAAGAUGCUUUGUUUCUUUCAUAUGAAAAAAAUGCAUUUUAUAAAUUCAGAAAGUCAUAGAUUUCUGAAGGCGUCAACGUGCAUUUUAUUUAUGGACUGGUAAGUAACUGUGGUUUACUAGCAGGAAUAUUUCCAAUUUCUACCUUUACUACAUCUUUUCAACAAGUAACUUUGUAGAAAUGAGCCAGAAGCCAAGGCCCUGAGUUGGCAGUGGCCCAUAAGUGUAAAAUAAAAGUUUACAGAAACCUUG